UCUCGUAUCCUUGUUGUCGGGCUCGGUGCUGUCCAAGAAGAUACAGAGACUAAAAAAAUCAUAAGAAGCAAAAUAUGACUGCAGGGAAAAGAAGCUGGAGAGAACAGAAGGGGCUGUUUCCAAAGUGACCUACAGACAUUGGAAUGAAAUCAUUAUUUACUGUGUAAAAGAAUCACUCUCCAAAGCAUCAGCCAAGGUCUAAAUGUGCCAUUCUGCCUUUUAAAAGUACCAACAUCACAGGAUUUUUCUCAGAUUAAAGCUUCCAUGGAGUCGGAUCUCUCAAGCCUGGCCCUUGAGAAUUGUGGGCCUCCUGUGAACUGGUCUUGCCAGAAGGGCUUGCUGAGUUUUCCAUUGUGUGGAAAAGAGAUCCCAUUUGCAGCCUGAAGCCUCAUGUUUCCUGUAGGAUUUCUACUCCUAGAAUUGCACACUUUGAAGGAUUUCUUAUAGCAGAAGUUUUUUGGGAACUAGGACUCUGGUUGGAUUUGGGUCUCUGGACUCUCAGGUGAAGUGACCUUGAGACACUAGGGCAUGCAGAUUUCCUUGCUGUUGAAAAGAGCUAUUGUUCGCACCCAGGAGCCAUGGUCUGAAUGGGGGUGUCACCUCUUAAAUUUGCAAAUGUCACAGGAUUUCUUCUAAAUGAAUGGUGCUAAGAACAUAAGGUCUGGCUGGCUUUCGACUUAGAGGCGCCUCCUCUAAAUUGGUCUUCAGACGCUAGGUUGGAAAGUGUUCCUACAUAUGCCAAAUAGCCCUUGCUAUGCAAUUAAUAAGCUUCAAAUUACCAUGGAGUUGCUGCCCCUGCAAAGAUUUUGGCAGAGCCUGGUUGUGGUGCCCCACUCCACUCCACCACCCUUAGCAGGUCCUUAUGGUUGCAUGGGGAAUCAUCGUGGAGCAUGCCAACCCAGCUCCAUCCUGGGAACAGCACCUGUAUUUUACCCUAAAAUUUCUGUCCCAUUAUAGCUCCUGUUAGGAUACAAAUGUAACUUCUCGGUUUCCACUGAUUUUACCCCCAGUCAUCUUUCCAUACAGACAUUGCUCCACUCCCCAGAGGAUUAUUGUGAGCAGAUGUGAGUUCUGCUGUCCCUUUGGACUGACAAAGACAGAGGUUUUGUCCCAAGUUGCUUUUGAACCUGUCCUGCACCUGUUACGAGUCCUCAGUCUCCUGCAAUUUUGUGGGUCAGUCACAUGUAAAACAGCACAGCUGGCUGGCAUGCUUUGCUCAUGAGGGGAGACAAGAGAAGAAUUCCUCUGCUCACACCAGACCUGCAGCUGCCAAACCUCACCAAAGCACCUGAGGAGCCCCCAGGGACUGAUGGUACAGAAGGGAGGUGAUGGAGGACAGCACAGCAGGCAGCCUGCCCUCCAUCUGGGUGUGAAGAAGGCAGGGCUGGGAACUGUAAGCAACAUCCCAGCAGGUCUGGCUGAUGGUGCCACCCUGAGGGCUUCCCCUGCCUUUGGGCAGUCCCAGCUGCUGCAGCUCACUUGACAGACUCAUUGUCUAUACUGUGCUUGGCUGCACUGGAGAUGAUGAAGCCGAGGACAGCAAUGGUUGCCUUCACAUCCCCUGACUGCAGAUGGGAAGGAGGGCGAGCUCUGUCACCUUGGGAAGGCGUCUGCAGAGUCACUGCUGCCCGUCUCUGGAGCGUGGCUCCAUUGGGGGACCGUGGUAAGGACAGCAGUGCUCACUUAACUGUGCACCUGAGGACAGCUUCAGGAUCUUGUCAUACUGUGGGAGAGCAGAGCUUCACAGUAAACACCAGCUAACACACUGACUGCCAGUGUUAACACUAACAGUUCUUACCUAAAUAUUAAUACUAGUAACACUUACUAUGCGUAUUAUUAAUCCUAGUAGAGGCUGGUAGCGUUCUUUAGGCUGAGGCUUGCAUGAAGAAUACAAAAUUAAUUAACGUUGCUGAUUAUGCUAUUGUGUUGAAAUACUUGGCCUCCACUGCGGUAGCCCCACGCUUACCUCGAUGGCCUGCCCCAGCAGGUCCCAAAACACCUGGAUGCAGAUCAGCUUAAGCUUCACUGAUGUGAUAAACAGAGUUCACUCUUUAUAAUUUUUAAAAUUUUAAUAAAGGAUAAAAGGACAAAAUAAUCCAGCACUGGGAUGCUUUUAGCACACAGCCAAAGAGCACAGAGGUAGCUUAAAAACAUGUUCACUAUAUACUGUUACAUUGCUGAGGUUACAGGCAUAUUCAUUAACUUACACAUUAUUCAAACAUUCCUUUGACUUUUUGAUGUUCCGGGAACUCUCUUGUUUGGUUUUAACCUCUGACUUGUCUGCAGAACGUUCUGUAAAUUAGGUCUACAUAUUUUAUUUCUUCCUGUAGUUUUAUCCUGUUGCUUCACACUCCCUGAUAACACUGGUAAGAGUCGAUAAAUCCUUCCUGGAUGCUUAA